AUUGAACGCUGGCGGCAGGCUUAACACAUGCAAGUCGAGCGGUAACAGGAGAAGCUUGCUUCUCGCUGACGAGCGGCGGACGGGUGAGUAAUACUUAGGAAUCUACCUAGUAGUGGGGGAUAGCUCGGGGAAACUCGAAUUAAUACCGCAUACGACCUACGGGAGAAAGGGGGCAACUUGUUGCUCUCGCUAUUAGAUGAGCCUAAGUCGGAUUAGCUAGAUGGUGGGGUAAAGGCCUACCAUGGCGACGAUCUGUAGCUGGUCUGAGAGGAUGAACGGCCACAUUGGGACUGAGAUACGGCCCAG
rnacentral:rRNA from 1 species